GGCAAACUGCUCAGUAACACGUAGCUAAUCUACCUUAUGGUCAAGGAUACCCUUGGGAAACUAAGGCUAAUACUUGAUAGAAGAUUUACCCUGGAAAGAUUUAUCUUUGAAACUCGUGCCAUAGGAUGAGGCUGCGCCGGAUUAGGUUGUUGGCGGGGUAAACGCCCACCAAGCCAAAGAUCCGUAAGGGCUCUUAGCGGAGAGGCCCUGAGAGGGAAUCUGAGACACUAUUCCCAGCCCUACGGGGUGCAGCAGUUAGGUAUAAUCUACAAUGCACGCAAGUGUGAUAGUUUGAAUCAGAGUGCUUUUCCAUUGGAAAAGCUUUUGCCAAGUGUAAAAAGCUUGGCGAAUACGGACUGGGUAAGACGAGUGCCAGCCGCCGCGGUAAUACUCGCGGUCCAAGUCGCAGCCAUUUUGAUUGGGUCUAAAACAUCCGUAGCUUGCUUAGUAAGUUCCUUGUGACAUCCUAUAUCUUCAGUAUAGAGCGUGCAGGGAGUACUGCUAUAGCUAGAGACUGGAAGACGCAACGAGUACGUUCAAAGUAGCGGUAAAAUGUUUUAAUCUUGAGCGGACUCACAAUAGCGAAGGCACGUUGCGAGGACAGUUCUGACAGUAAGGGAUGAAGGCUAGGGGCGCAAAACGGAUUAGAUACCCGUGUAGUCCUAGCAGUAAGCACUGCACACUAAACAUUAGUACCUCUUCGGGAGGUAUUAGUGCUGAAGGGAAGCCGAAGAGUGUGCUACCUGGGAAGUACAGUCGCAAGACUGAAACUUAAAGGAAUUGGCGGGGAGACACUACAACAGGUGACGCGUGCGGUUCAAUUAGAUUUUACACCGUGAACCUCACCAGGACCGACAGCAGAAUGAAGGUCAGUCUAAAGGGCUUACCUGACACGCUGAGAGGAGUCGCAAGUCCGACGUCAGCCUGUGUCGUGAGAUGACCUGUUAAAUCAGGUAACAGGCAAGACCC
rnacentral:rRNA from 1 species